GAACAGUAACACGGUUUGACCCGGAUGAACAGUAACGCGGUUUGGUUGAAAAUAAUCCUGUGUGAUGCAUGCACCGUACACGAGAUUUUUCGUCCACUGAUAUGCUGCCACGUCACCAUCAACAGUACAUAAGAAUUUUAGUCCAACAGGAUCGUGACACCUCAUCAGUCAAUGCCACAUCAUCGGUCAAUGCCACGUCAUCGAUCCGUCUAUGUGAACAGUGUUGUGAACAGUAACGUAGACAGUACCGUACACGUGAAUAGUACCGUACAUGUGAAUAGUGUCAUUUUUCCUUUUAUGCUCUUCCUAAGGUUUUCGACCAUCCUGAGUUCAAAAGUGAUGUCCGUUUUGCCGUCUGAUCUCUCCUUUAUUGUGAAAUGACUAUAAUGCCCCUAAAAUACAUAAAAUACUUAAUUAAAAUAAAACACACGGAAUGAAAUCAAAAGAAGGUUAAAUUCAUAAAAGUAAAGGUGUUAGUAAAACUUGUAGUGUAAAAUGACGAUUUUCUCCUUUAUAAAUAUGCAUUUUCUAACACUCAACACACCCCCCAACCAGCUUAUUGCUAGCCCCUAGCAAAUAAAGCGAAAACAAAAUUCAAAUUCAAAUUUUUUUUUUUUUUUUUAGAAACACUCGUGUUUAUUCAAUCAGAUUAAUGAUAACAAUCAAAUAAAAGUAUAAGCAUUAUCUCCAGUCUAAAGCAACAUCACACCCACAUCAACCAUCCACAUGAAUUAGCCCAGUAGACUUUGUUAUAGCUACUUUCAAGAAUGACAUGUCAAACCCCAAAAUCUCACUGGAAGUAGUGACACUCUCACAAAGAAAUUAAAACCCAAUAAACAUAGUCACUCCAAUGAAUGGUAAUUGAGAGAGAAAAUAAUAAAGAAAUGAUAUCACAUGCUCUCACCAAGAUGAAAUAAAUAUGCCCUCAGCUUAGAAAUAAUACGAUCUCAAGUCAAAUAAAAUGUUAGUCAACCCACUUUAUUUAUCUUUUUUUUUUUUUAUUAUGCAUCACUACAUCUUUUUAGCCCAUAUAACUAGCUUCUACUUCAAACUAUAGUUCCCUAAAAUCAAGAAGGACUUUUAUUAGGACGUAACGUAGGCUAGGGAUAUGGCUAACAAAGAAAGGAAAUAAGGAAAACAAAGUGUAUGUUUGAGAAAAAUGAAGAGAAAUUUUUUUUUUUUUUUUGAAGUUGCAAGGUGUAUUUCACCUAUUGUUGUUAUUUUUAUUCUUUUGAAACAACAACUUUUGUUUUUUUUUUUUUUUUUUUUUACUUUUAUUUGGCAUAACUUCACUGAACAACAUAAUUAUUUACAUUUUCUCAAACAUAAAUAGGUGAUGGAACUUAAAAGACAUUGGAUAAUACUCCAAAUCGGAGUGGGUCAAGAUGAUAAGUUGACAAAGAAAAGGUUUUUUUUUUUUAUUUAUUUUUUUUAAAGGCUCAAAAGGGGUAACUAUGGAUAUUUAAUAAAAGGGAUGGCUAGAAAGGCUCAAACGGAUCAAAGAUGGCCUUUCCAUCGUCUUUUAGGGCUCUAAAUAAUUAUCCAUAUCUACUAGUUAGAUGGGCCUCCCAAUGUAGCAACACGCAUUUUUUUCUUUUUUUUUAUUUUAAUUUUACCAUUUUUUUUAAAGGGUUAACUCAAAAGAAAUCUAGAGAUCGUGUAUAAAAUAAUAAACUGCUAAGCUGUAUAGAGAAUGGGCAAAAGGGUUACUCUCCAAGAAAAUGAUAGGCUCAACAACUCACUUGGCACUUAUUUAUGACAUGUUCAUUCCUUCAAGCAACUCAUAUUUGUCUCCGACAUCAACAUGUAAAGUAGCAAACAUAGCGUAACAUCACUUAAGACCAAAGAUAAUACAAAUACUAAAAUUUGAAAUUAAUCAUGUCAUCCAAUGUUAAAACAAAUAACACAAAUUUUUUUUUUUUUUUAAACAACAUUCUACCCCCCAACCUAUUCUAAACAUGAAAGGAAAAUAUGCAUGCAGAAAUGUAAAAAUGAUGUAGAAAAUUAAUUUUUUUUUUUUUUUAACUAAGAAGAUGCGUUUCUAGAGGCACUACACUCCAUAUUCAGCCAUCUUUGACUCAAAAAUUUGAAACUACAUAUUUAUAAAGGAGAAACUACAUAUUUAUAAAGGAGAAAGAGGAAGAAAAAGAGUUUUUUUUUUUUUUUUUUUUUAAACGAUGAAGAUGCGUUUCUAGAGUAACUACACUCCAUAUUCAGCCAUCUUCAACACAAAACGUUAGCAACAGUUAGUUUCUACAACAAAAAAUCAGUAAAAACUUAACCAAGAUUCCACAAUUGUCGACUAUUCCCUCCCCCCAACCAGAACGAAACAUUGUCCUCAAUGUUUUAAAGGAAAGAAGUAGAGUUUAGAAGACAUCACCUGGGUGGUGCAACACAGAAGAAAAUAUUUACAGGCGGAGAGUUAAAUCUAAUUUGUACUUCUUACUGCGGCUACUGUUACCAUCAUUAUUUGGUCGCUCCAACACAAAGGUCCAGGGGUCUGGCUCCGGUUUAUAAGCUUGUAACAUAUCAAGUAGCUCAUUAGCAGUGUGAGCACAAAGAAAGAGUUUUUUCACAUUAGAAGGAAUGAAAUAGUUUUUUAUUGCAUGGUUAAGAAAUGCGAUAAAGCCAUCAUAAAAGUUAUUGACAUUUAACAAACCGAUGGGUUUCUGGUGGAUGUGCAGAUGGGCCCAAGAUGCUAGUGUCAUAAGUGCCUCUAGUGUUGCAAGAUCUCCUGGAAGGAAAAUAAAAGCAUCAGCAUGAUUAAGCAUUUCAGUUAUUCUUUCUUGCAUACCUGAGACGACUAACUCUUCUCCAGUUGAUGAGUCAGACGAACUGCCCAAUGGUUUGAGGACUCUUGGGAUGAUGCCUAACACUUGACUUCCUCUGAUAAAAGCUGCUUCUGAGACCAUUUUUGAUAACCCUCGGUUACCUCCUCCAUACACCAAGUGUAAUUUUCUCGCUGCUAUGCUUCGACCAAGAUCUAUGGCUGCCUCCACGAAUUCUUUAUGUUUGCCAUAGGUAAAUCCAGAAAGCACACAAAUGUUCUUGAAUUGUCUAUUGGGAGUAGCUGCCAUUGUGAUACUUCUCAAAAAUAAUUUGUGAGUGCUUGACAAAAGAUAAAUCACAUUAAAGAAUCUUGGUGACAGUGGAUCACAGCUGUGAAUGAGGUAACAUGUCAGUGUCAAAUAACGCGUAAAGCACGUGGCUCGCGAGUCAAAAAGGAAACAGUAAAAAGGAAAAAGCAAACAAUAAUAAAAUUAUUAAAGACAAUAAUGCAAACAAUAAAACAACAGUGAAAUGAAAUAAAAUAACAGUAAAGUAAAAGGAUAUUUACACGUAGUUGCGACUGUGGCUCACAUCUUCCUCUGGUUUUACGUCCAGAAACGGCUUGAACGCCCUCUAUGGGUCGAGGAUAGGCUUCCUAUCCAGUUUUCUUAUAAACUGGCAAACAGGGUCGUUUAUAGUCAGAUUCCCGAGACUAUAUCGUGCAUGCUCUUUCUGGAAUAAUGGCCAUAACUGGAGAAUCGCUCCUUGCACAUAUCCACUAGGAUGCGUUUCAAGAGACAAAAGGAUAUCAUCCAAUGACUCCUUAUUCAAGCCAUCCCUAAUGAAUUGAAUCUUAUCUUCCCUGUUAUCAGACACCAUUCCUAAAGAACAUGGGUUUCUAUCGCAACUCAUUCUGGCACACUUAUGACAAGCAACAGAAAUUCUUCGAGCUCGUCGUUUUCUUGCAUAAUUUCCUUUACCACAACCAGGCAUGAAUGCAAUAAAUUUUGGAGGUAACUCACCUGCCGAUCGUACUUUAGCCUCGAUUAACCAACGGAUGUCUGCAGGUAUGUUAUUCCUCAUGAACAAUCGCAUGCGUUCAGUCCGAGCUUUAUAGAUCGUAAGGAGGGCAUUCUGAGGAAGUGAAGGGAAUCGCUUGUGAAGCUUCGCUAGAGUCUCGUUUCUGUCCAUACCUUCGCCUAAGAAUAUCAGUUAUUAUGGGAAACUGAAGUUAACCGACUUGAUUAUCACGGAGUACCGUUAUCCGCCACUUCACCGGGGGAACAAACUAAAGCACACAAACAGAAAAACAAAUUAAAACACACAAAGAAAAUUAAAAUCGUCCUCUUAUUGAAUUUACCUCAAGCUCCAACUGGAUGUCGUAAACACUUCUCUCAAUGUCUCUGAGUUGGCGUUCUAAACCCUCAACAUAGGCUACUAACUCUGGUGGUUGUAGAGCCCAAAUGCGUUGUGUUUUACAAAAUAGAAUCUGCCUUUUGAGAUGAGUUUUGACACGUUGAAGUGGUUUAAGAAUGUUCAGGAGGAACGGUCUAAGUAUGAGACUCAUGAUGAAAAAUGAUAAGAGAAAACUUAAUGGUAAAAUAAACACACUUAUGCAAAAACAAUUUCAAUUAGCAAAAGAAUAAUAAUAAAAAGAAAUAAAGAAAAAUCAAAUCAACGAAAAGAAAAAAAAAUCAAUUCAAAUUUGGUGGGUCACUCAAAUUUAUUUCGAUGUUUUCUCCAUGUGGUUGGUACUCUAGAUAUGGCUUUAAUCUUUGACCAUUAACUUUAAACGUGACACCGUUCUUUGGGUCCUUAAUUUCAAUUGCCCCAUGUGGAAAAACAGUAUGUACAAUAAAUGGGCCAGACCAACGAGAGCGUAACUUACCUGAGAAUAGGUGCAAGCGAGAAUUGAAUAAAAGCACUUUCUGACCUGGAGUGAACGAUUUUCUCAUAAUUUGCUUAUCAUGGAAGACUUUCAUUCGUUGCUUGUAAAUCUUGGCAUUUUCGUAUGCAUCAUUGCGAAUUUCUUCAAGUUCUGCCAACUGUAAUCUUCUUUCUGAGCUGGCUUGCUGCAUGUCAAAGUUGAAUUUCUUGAUGGCCCAAUAUGCACGAUGCUCGAGUUCCACAGGUAGGUGGCAAGCUUUUCCAUACACUAGCCUGUAGGGUGACAUCCCAAUCGGGGUCUUGAAAGCCGUUCUAUAUGCCCAUAAUGCAUCAUCAAGUCGUAAUGACCAAUCUUUCCUGUCUGGCCUCACCGUCUUUUCUAAUAUGUGCUUUAUUUCUCGAUUGGAGAUCUCAACUUGGCCACUGGUUUGCGGAUGAUACGGGGUCGCCACUUUAUGUGUGAUUGAAUACUUUGUCAAAAGAGCCUUGAAUGCUUUGUUACAAAAGUGGGCACCACCAUCACUGAUUAUCGCUCGAGGGAAUCCAAAGCGUGAAACAAUGUUGCUUUUCAAAAAUCCUAUCACCACUUUGUGAUCAUUGGUUCUGCAUGGAAUUGCUUCCACCCAUUUCGAUACGUAGUCAACACCAACCAAUAUGUAUUGAUGGCCAAAAGAAGGGGGAAAGGGUCCUAUGAAGUCGAUACCCCAUACGUCAAAAAUCUCAACCACUAAAAUUGGAUUUAGUGGCAUCAUGUUCCUUCGUGUAAUGCUCCCCAUUCGUUGACACCUAUCACAUGAAGAACAGAAAGUGUAAGCAUCUCGAAAUAUAGUUGGCCAAUAGAAACCACAUUGUAAAACUUUAGUCGCUGUUUUCUUAGCACUGAAAUGGCCUCCACAAGCUUGUUCAUGGCAGAAUGAAAGAAUAUUCUGAAUUUCAUUUUGUGGGACACAUCGUCUAACAAUUUGGUCUGCACAAUACUUGAACAAAUACGGGUCAUCCCAAAAGAAAUUCUUUAUUUCCGCAAAGAAUUUAGCCUUGUCUUGCUUGGUCCAAUGCUCUGGAAGUUUACCUGUAACAAGAUAAUUAACUAUAUCAGCAUACCAAGGUAAUACUUCCACAUUCAUUAAUUGUUCAUCUGGAAAUGACUCAUUCAAUGGUAAUGAUUCUGUAAUUGUGUCAAAAUGGAGACGAGAGAGGUGGUCCGCCACAACAUUCUCUAGGCCUUUCUUAUCCUUGAAUUCCAAAUCGAAUUCCUGCAAAAGUAACACCCAACGAAUUAGUCUAGCUUUUGCAUCUUUCUUUGUGAGAAGAUAUUUAAGAGUAGCAUGAUCUGUGAAUAUAAUUAUUUUACAACCAAUGAGAUAAGAUCGAAAUUUCUCUAAUGCAAACACUACUGCUAGCAUUUCUUUUUCAGUAGUUGAAUAGUUCAACUGUGCAUCAUUCAAUGUCAUACUAGCAUAGUAAAUAACAUGGGGAAUUCGAUCAACUCUUUGUCCUAAUACUGCUCCUACUGCAUAAUCAGAUGCAUCACACAUGAGCUCAAAUGGUAAGUUCCAGUUUGGGGCCUGAAUGAUGGGUGAUGAUGUCAACAACUGCUUUAAUUUUUCAAACGCCAUGAGACAUGAAUCAUUAAAGAUAAAAGGUACAUCCUUAGCAAGUAAAUUGCAUAAGGGUCUAGAAACUUUGCUAAAAUCUUUAAUGAAACGUCUAUAGAAACCAGCAUGCCCAAGGAAAGAUCUUACUUCUCUGACUGUUUUGGGUGGAGGAAGAUUAGAAAUGAGAUCCACCUUGGCUUUGUCAACCUCAAUACCUUUGCUUGAAAUGAUGUGACCGAGAACAAUACCUUGUUUUACCAUAAAAUGGCACUUCUCCCAAUUUAAGACUAAGCUCUUCUCGGUACAUCUCUGCAGAACUAGCGUUAGAUGAUGUAAACAUUGAUCAAACGAGUCACCAAAGACAGAAAAAUCAUCCAUAAAGACUUCAAGGAAUCGUUCAACCAUAUCAGAAAAAAUGCUCAACAUGCAUCGUUGAAAUGUAGCAGGUGCAUUACAUAAUCCAAAUGGCAUUCUCCUAUAUGCAAAUGUGCCAAAAGGGCAAGUGAAAGUGGUCUUCUCUUGAUCUUUUGGUGCUAUGGGAAUCUGAUUAUAUCCUGAGUAGCCAUCUAGAAAGCAAUAAAAUUCAUGGCCUGCUAAUCUAUCAAGCAUUUGAUCAAUAAAUGGUAAAGGAAAAUGGUCUUUACGUGUGACAGAAUUCAACUUUCUAUAAUCAAUGCAUACACGCCAUCCUGUAGUUACUCUAGUUGGUAUCAAUUCAUUAUCAGCAUUGGUAACUACUGUGACUCCUGACUUUUUGGGGACAACUUGUACAGGACUAACCCAUGAACUAUCAGAAAUUGGGUAAAUGAUACCUGCAUCUAAUAGCUUAAGGACUUCAGUUCUAACAACUUCUUUCAUGUUAGGAUUUAACCGACGUUGCAUCUCCCUAGUAGUUUUAGCAUUUUCAUCAAGGUGAAUGUAAUGCAUGCAGUCUACUGGGUUUAUACCUUUUAUGUCCGCUAUGGUCCAUCCUAAUGCUCCUUUGUGCUCUUUUAAAACAUCCAACAACUUACCUUUUUGUUCGUCAUUUAGGGAUGAUGAGAUGAUUACCGGCAGAGUACUUUCUUCUCCCAAAAAUGCAUAUUCCAAUGUGUUGGGCAAUGGUUUGAGCUCGAGUUUCGGUGGUGAUUCUGAUGAUGGGAUGAGUUUCUUCUCUGAUGGUGCUAGUUGUUCAACUCUUGACUUCCAUUUAUUAGUGUCCAUGGAUGGUGCUGAGUCAAGUAGGGCGUUGACCUCAUCAACCGAUCUGUCAAUAUCAAAAUCCAAACCAAAGUGAGUUAAACAUGUUUGUAAAGGAUCAUCACUAAGGUUUGAAACAAAAGUGUUAUCAACUAUUGUUUCUAUUAAAUCCACAUCAACAAUUCCAUCAUCUGCACUGUGAGGUUGUUUGGCAAUGUUGAAGAUGUUUAGCUCCAUAGUCAUGUUGCCGAAGGACAAUUGCAUAUUUCCGGUCCUACAUUGAAUAUGAGCAUCUGCAGUUGCCAAGAAAGGUCGGCCUAGAAUAAUGGGGAUGUGCUUCCUUGAGUCCUGUAUUGGUUGAGUGUCAAUUACAAUGAAAUCAACAGGAAAAUAAAACUUGUCUACCUGGAUAAGCACGUCCUCCACAAUACCACGAGGUAUUUUCGUGGACCGAUCUGCAAGCUGUAACACCACUGGAGUUGGGUGUAAUUCUCCCAGUCCAAGUUUCACGAAUACAGAGUAAGGCAAAAAAUUUACACUAGCUCCUAAAUCCAACAAAGCAUUCUCAAUUGUGUGGUUCCCUAUGCUACAUGAGAUAGUGGGGGAGCCUGGGUCUUUGCAUUUUAAAGGAAUUUUAUGUUGGAGUAUAGAACUAACGUUUUCUGUUAAAAAGGCCUUCUUUUGAACAUGCAUAUUUCUCUUUUUAGUACAAAGGUCUUUAAGAAACUUGGCAUAAGAUGGAAUUUGUUUUAUAGCAUCAAGCAAAGGGAUAUUGACACUUACCUGUUUGAAAAUUUCGAGAAUCUCACCUGUGGAUUUUCCCUUCUUUCCUUUCACUAACCUCUGAGGAAAUGGAGCUUUAGGAACAUAUUCUCGUGGGUUGGUUUCUUCUUUCUCCUCCGGUAGUGAGUCUUCAACAUUCACAGGUACAAUUUGAUUUUCUUUUGUCACCGGCAUUUCCACUUUGUUGUCGACUUCUUUUCCUUUUCGCAAGGUCAUGACUGCUUUGACCUCUCCAUGCUGCUGUGGUGAACUGGUACUUGCUUCAUGUACUCCUUUAGGAUUAGGCACUGGUUGACUUGGAAAUUUACCUUUCUCAACAGUAAUUGCCAAGGUCUGAACUGAAGAAGCAAGUUGUCCCACCAUCUUCUCGAGGCUUGAAACUGAUUGGGCUUGUGAGUUAAAGCCCGCUCUCAAUUCAUUUCGUAGUCCAUCAAUGGUGCGGUUCUGUUGCUCAAUCGUGGAGUGAGUAAGAUUCUUGAGAUUCUGGAAUGAAUCCUCCCAUGGUCUGGGUUGAGAGUAGUUCUGGUUCUGAUUGUAUGAUCUAAAUGGUGGCUGAGAGGCUUGAGGAAUUUGUGGAGCUGGAGCUGCUGGUCCAUUCUGUUGGAAUCCUUGAGACCAUGAAAAAUUGGGAUGGUCUCUCCAUCCAGGAUUAUAUGUGUUGGAGUAUGGGUUGUAAUUAGAUGGUUUUCUCAUUACACCUAUGGCAUUGGCUUGAUCGGAGUAUGAGUCAUGGUCAUGUGGUUCUGUUGAUUUAGCAGUCGACAACAAUGCUAUUUGUCGAGCAAGACCUUCAACCAUCUCCUUGACUUCUUUGAUUCCCGAAGUUGACUCGCCAAUUUGAACCUCAUUUACUCCCUUAAUUCUUCUAGUAUUCCUGAGUGAUCGACUCCGUUGUUGGGAAUUAUCCGCUUGUCGCUAGAAGAAUUCCCAAAUCUCUGAUGCACUUUUUGACAUUAGCUCUCCUCCACUUGUUGCCAUUAGCCAUUCUUGCACAUUCGGCAAUAAUCCCUCCAAAAAGUAUUGGCAUUGGUGCCAUUUCUCGUACCCAUGAUGUGGACACUUCAAGAGUAGCCCAUUGAAUCGCUCCCAUGUUUCGAAAAACUGCUCGUCCUCUCUCUGAGUAAACUCUGAAAUUUCCCUGCGAAUAGAAUUGGUUUUAUGCACUGGGAAAUAUUUAUUCAAAAAUUUCGUUACCAUUUGUUCCCAUGAUGCAAUGCUAUUAGCAGGCAAUGUAUUAAGCCAUGAACGAGCUCUAUCCUUUAAAGAAAAUGGGAAUAAUCUGAGUUUAACAUUAUCGUCUGAAAAAUUCUCGUAUUUAAAUGUUUGACAAAUAGCAUGAAAAUCAUUCAGAUGAUUAUAUGGGUCCUCAUUUUCUAAGCCAUAGAAUGUGGGGAGACAAUUUAGCACACUAGGUUUUAGUUCAAAACUCCUAGCAGCUACAUUUGGGUAUCUUAUGCAUGAUGUGCUCAAAUUAGCUAAGGGACUAAAAUAGUCCUUAAAUGGCCUCUCCUGUGGUGCUUGUAAAUCCAUUUUAUUUUUAAAUUGUUUGUGUGUGCGAAGUGUUUUUUCUAAUUCAAGGUCUAUAGGUUCAAGAUUAGGUAAUAAUGACCUACGACCAUGCAUGCAAAAUAAAUAAAAUAAAAAUAAAGAUGCAAACAAAACAAAAAAUAAAGAUGGGAACAAAACAAAUAAAAAUAAAGAAGAUGGAGAAAUUACGAUACUAACCUUAUUACGCUGUUACAACCUUUCUAUAAAAAUACACAAAAACAAAUACGUGAAAUAAAUUAACUAAAAAUUAAAUUAAUAAAAUAAACAAAAAUUACAAAGAAAAAAAAUAAAUUGAAAAUUAAAUUACAGAAUUUUAAAGAAGAGAAAAAGAAAAGAAAUACUAACCUCUAAAUGCGGAUUCACUUUUUUUUUUUAUAAAAAAAAAAUACAAAAAAACAAAAUAAAAGAAAUUAUUCACAAAAAUUAAUUCUAUGAAUUAAAAUUACUUACCUCCCCGGCAACGGCGCCAAAAACUUGUUGUGCAAAUUUUAAUGUACUCGCAAGCGCACGAAUCUAUUGUAGUAUAGAUCAAUGGUGACGAGUGUCGAUCCCACGAGGAGGUGGAUUUUAAUUGUGUAUAGAAUUAAUUUUGCAAAAUUGGUGGUUGGAAUUGUGGUGGAAGUGAUUUAAAUUAUCCUAAAAUUGGAAUUGAAAUUGCGAUAAUAAAUUCUAAAAUUGGAAUUGUAAUGGCGAGAAUAAAUUGAAGCGAAAUCUAUUAAAAUGACGUACUUGGGUAUCUGGAUCCGUAUCAACAUGCAUCAUGGGCUAAAUAAUCCAUAUUAAUGCCAAUUAAAUCAUGAGGGGGGAAUCCACACCUCAUGAACCACGCUCUAAUCAAUAUGGUGCUAAGGGCUUAUCGUGCCAAAUAAUAAUAACCUUAUACUAGAGAGCCAGUGUAACCAAGGCGAUAUCUAGACAAGAUCAGUAUUAUUUGUCGACGAUAAGUCAAAUCAUCCACAAAAACUAGAGGGGAAAAGAAAAUAAAUUUACCAAAUAAAGCCCAUGACACAUGUUGAGACUUCACCUUCAACCCAAGCUUGAAAAGAAAUUAGCUACUCAUAAUUGAACUAGGGGCAAAAUGGGAAUUUAUUAAAAUACAAAGAAAAUACAAGAUGGAGAAGGAAUUACAGAAAAAGGAUCCCAAAAAUGGAUUCAGAGAUAUCAAAUUAGGGGGGGGAGGCCCCCUUUUUAUAGAUACAUGGAGUAAAUCAUGGCCAUCGGAUUAAAAACAGUUUGGACGCUCAGGAUUGCGCCACGUCAUCAGUCAACAGUCCACGGUUUGACCACGCGGAUGAACAGUAACACGGUUUGACCCGGAUGAACAGUAACGCGGUUUGGUUGAAAAUAAUCCUGUGUGAUGCAUGCACCGUACACGAGAUUUUUCGUCCACUGAUAUGCUGCCACGUCACCAUCAACAGUACAUAAGAAUUUUAGUCCAACAGGAUCAUGACACCUCAUCAGUCAAUGCCACAUCAUCGGUCAAUGCCACGUCAUCGAUCCGUCUAUGUGAACAGUGUUGUGAACAGUAACGUAGACAGUACCGUACACGUGAAUAGUACCGUACAUGUGAAUAGUGUCAUUUUUCCUUUUAUGCUCUUCCUAAGGUUUUCGACCGUCCUGAGUUCAAAAGUGAUGUCCGUUUUGCCGUCUGAUCUCUCCUUUAUUGUGAAAUGACUAUAAUGCCCCUAAAAUACAUAAAAUACUUAAUUAAAAUAAAAC
rnacentral:lncRNA from 1 species